GCUAAGGUGGCGCCGGCGCGCCAGCGCGUGGCGGCGCGGGGGAUUGGGGCCGCGCCACCGCCUUGUGUAUACCAGCGAGGCGCUUGGGGUUCAGCCCGCUUGAGGGACUGCUCCGAUGGCAGAAUAAUACUGGAGGGACGCAGCAAAUCCAAGGACUCGUGCUCUGGCAGAGGCUGGUAUCUUGUGGGUGAGCUCCAGAGAAGAGAGACUCAAAUGCAUUGAUGACUUGUUGAGUACGUGACGGCUGUAUCUGCUCUACGUAACUCUAAGCUGCGUGCAUGCAUUCCUGCAUCUGUUAGGAUCACAAACGGGGCUGGAAGAGGCAUCACAGAAAGCACCAAACUUGGGCUGUGCCUGAACACCAAGCAAUGAAAACAAUUCAAGAGCAUGAAUGCAGUGGAAUGAAAAAUCACAAAGUGCUGAAGCUCCCUCAGGAUCAGUGCAACCUCCUGGGUAUCGCGUUGGACUGUAAUCGCUAAAGGAAAGCAGGGCUUUGUGCAAGUAAAAAUGAAGCAUAAGAACAUAACUUAAAGAUUAAGCUUAAAAACAUUUUCUCCCAUGAAUACACUUUU